UACGUAGGGGGCGAGCGUUGUCCGGAUUUAUUGGGCGUAAAGAGCUCGUAGGCGGUUCGGUAAGUCGGAUGUGAAAUCUCCACGCUCAACGUGGAGGGGCCAUUCGAUACUGCCGUGACUCGAGUCCGGUAGGGGAGUGUGGAAUUCCCGGUGUAGCGGUGAAAUGCGCAGAGAUCGGGAGGAACACCCGUAGCGAAGGCGGCACUCUGGGCCGUGACUGACGCUGAGGAGCGAAAGCUAGGGGAGCAAACGGG
rnacentral:rRNA from 1 species